UGAAGAUGAAGAUACACAGCACUGGGCACUGAAUAAAAAUAAAUAAUAUUUUUUCCUUUCAUGAGUGACAAUGCUUUUAUGUGGGCCUAGAAAACCCACGCAACAGAUUCA
rnacentral:snoRNA from 1 species